rnacentral:rRNA from 1 species
CCUACGGGGUGCUGCAGUGGGGGAUAUUGGACAAUGGGGGGAACCCUGAUCCAGCGACGCCGCGUGAGUGAAGAAGUAUUUCGGUAUGUAAAGCUCUGUCAGCAGGGAAGAAAGCAAUGACGGUACCUGACCAAGAAGCCCCGGCUAACUACGUGCCAGCAGCCGCGGGAAUACGUAGGGGGCAAGCGUUAUCCGGAAUUACUGGGUGUAAAGGGAGCGUAGACGGCUGUGCAAGUCUGGAGUGAAAGGCGGGGGCCCAACCCCCGGACUGCUCUGGAAACUGUAUGGCUGGAGUGCAGGAGAGGGAAGCGGAAUUCCUAGUGUAGAGGUGAAAUGCGUAGAUAUUAGGAGGAACACCAGUGGCGAAGGCGGCUUACUGGACUGUAACUGACGUUGAGGCUCGAAAGCGUGGGGAGCAAACAGGAUUAGAUACCCCUGUAGUC